rnacentral:rRNA from 1 species
AAUAGAUCCCCGGUAGUCCACGCCGUAAACGAUGGAUGCUAGCUGUUAUGCGUAUCGACCCGUGUAGUAGCGAAGCUAACGCGUUAAGCAUCCCGCCUGGGGAGUACGAACGCAAGUUUAAAACUCAAAGGAAUUGACGGGGACCCGCACAAGCGGUGGAGCGUGUUCUUUAAUUCGAGGCUAAGCGAAGAACCUUACCAGGGCUUGACAUCCUUGGAAUUUCUCCGAAAGGAGAGAGUACUUUAUUGGACCAAGUGACAGGUGCUGCAUGGCCGUCGUCAGCUCGUGUCGUGAGAUGUUUGGUUAAGUCCAUUAACGAGCGCAACCCUUAUGAAUAGUUGUAUUUUUCUAUUCAGACUGCCCCGGUAACGGGGAGGAAGGGGGGGAUGAUGUCAGGUCAGUAUUGCCCUUACGCCCUGGGCUAGAAACGCGCUACAAUGGCCGGUACAAUGCGCUGCCAACCCGCGAGGGGGAGCAAAUCGCAUCAAAGCCGGUCCCAGUUCGGAUAAGAGGCUGAAACUCGCCUCUUUGAAGCCGGAAUCGCUAGUAAUCGU